GAUCCUGGCUCAGAUUGAACGCUGGCGGCAUGCCUACACAUGCAAGUCGAACGGUAGAGGGGCAACCCUUGAGAGUGGCGAACGGGUGAGUAAUAUAUCGGAACGUGCCCAGUCGUGGGGGAUAACGUAGCGAAAGUUACGCUAAUACCGCAUACGAUCUAAGGAUGAAAGCGGGGGAUCGCAAGACCUCGCGCGAUUGGAGCGGCCGAUAUCAGAUUAGGUAGUUGGUGAGGUAAAGGCUCACCAAGCCAACGAUCUGUAGCUGGUCUGAGAGGACGACCAGCCACACUGGAACUGAGACACGGUCCAGACUCCUACGGGAGGCAGCAGUGGGGAAUUUUGGACAAUGGACGCAAGUCUGAUCCAGCCAUUCCGCGUGCAGGAUGAAGGCCCUCGGGUUGUAAACUGCUUUGUACGGAACGAAAAGGUUUCUCUUAAUACGAGGAGCUCAUGACGGUACCGUAAGAAUAAGCACCGGCUAACUACGUG
rnacentral:rRNA from 1 species